CGGGGCGUAGCGCAGCCUGGUAGCGCACCAGACUGGGGGUCUGGUGGUCGGAGGUUCAAAUCCUCUCGUCCCGACCA
rnacentral:tRNA from 1 species